AGAGCUUCUCUGUUUUCGGUUUCACUUUUGGGCUUGCGUACAGACGGCUACCACGUUGGCUGGCUAAGUUGCUCUAUCCAAGCCCACAGGCCGGUAAACCUACACUUUGGUGGUCUUCUUUCCUUAGAUGAACUUCUUUGGAAUUGCCAUCAAUGUGUCUCCUAGGUGACUGUAAAUCCAGAGAAGUUGACAAUGAUGAGGCCUCAUUACACCUCCCAACUCCAAUGGACCGGGAGCCGCAGCAGCUCUCUACACACUUUAGCUCUCUUUGGACUCCUGAAAGAAUAAAGCCAUUGUUCCAGGGUGUGCAGCCCAGAAUGAGCCUGGUCCACAGCAGCGGCAUGAAUGGGAGUCUGUGGUUCUUACACACCUGGGGACCAGGUCACCUCUGUUAAGAAACACAAGGCCCUUGGCACUGAGCUUUUGGGAAUGUGCCACAUCUGCCUCUGAAUGUCUGCCUGCCUACCUUUGAUGCUGCAGUCAACACCUAACUUAAAACAAAGCAGGGCUUGAAACAGCAACUCAGAGCACAAUGGUUGUGCUCACCAGCCACCUCAGCGCUGAGUAUCAUGAACAGGAAGACCCCAAACCCCCCAAACAGCUCAACAUUUCAAGACAGGGCUAACCAAUUUUCAUUCAGGGGACGAGAAAGAACAGUGCUACAUCAGAGAGGAAGAAAGGAAUAAAUGAUGAU
rnacentral:lncRNA from 1 species